GUCUAAGUAUAAGCAAUCUAUACUGUGAAACUGCGAAUGGCUCAUUAAAUCAGUUAUCGUUUAUUUGAUAGUACCUUACUACUUGGAUAACCGUGGUAAUUCUAGAGCUAAUACAUGCUAAAAACCUCGACUUCGGAAGGGGUGUAUUUAUUAGAUAAAAAACCAAUGCCCUUCGGGGCUCCUUGGUGAUUCAUAAUAACUUAACGAAUCGCAUGGCCUUGUGCCGGCGAUGGUUCAUUCAAAUUUCUGCCCUAUCAACUUUCGAUGGUAGGAUAGUGGCCUACCAUGGUAUCAACGGGUAACGGGGAAUUAGGGUUCUAUUCCGGAGAGGGAGCCUGAGAAACGGCUACCACAUCCAAGGAAGGCAGCAGGCGCGCAAAUUACCCAAUCCCAAUACGGGGAGGUAGUGACAAUAAAUACUGAUACAGGGCUCUUUUGGGUCUUGUAAUUGGAAUGAGUACAAUUUAAAUCCCUUAACGAGGAACAAUUGGAGGGCAAGU
rnacentral:rRNA from 1 species